GUAGGUGGCAAGCGUUGUCCGGAAUUAUUGGGCGUAAAGCGCGCGCAGGCGGUUCUUUACGUCUGAUGUGAAAGCCCACGGCUCAACCGUGGAGGGUCAUUGGAAACUGGAGAACUUGAGUACAGAAGAGGAAAGCGGAAUUCCACGUGUAGCGGUGAAAUGCGUAGAGAUGUGGAGGAACACCAGUGGCGAAGGCGGCUUUCUGGUCUGUAACUGACGCUGAGGCGCGAAAGCGUGGGGAGCAAACAGGAUUAGAUACCCUGGUAGUCCACGCCGUAAACGAUGAGUGCUAAGUGUUAGGGGGUUUCCGCCCCCCUUAGUGCUGCAGCUAACGCAUUAAGCACUCCGCCUGGGAGUACGGCCGCAAGGCUG
rnacentral:rRNA from 1 species